UAGUACUGCUGAGCUAGCUUAGCUAUGUGUAGUGUGGCAUGGCAUCAAAAGCUUCAUCCUUUAACCCCCUUGGGAAGUAUCCUAGUGUCUUGUGCUCCAUGUCCCUUUGCACUUGCUUUCACUUUAUGCCAAACAGCUAGUAGGAGGAGGUAGAGCAAGUAUAAGCUGCUGAGCUAGCAGCCAUGGAGAGGAGUUGUUGUAUCUUCCCUGGUCUUGCUUGCUCCAUCUAUAAAUCCACCUUCACCUCCUUUCUUCUACCUCAAUCCUUCACACCUUUGCACUGUUCUUCACUUCUACUCCCUGAACAUUUACAUAUAGCUGUAUAUAUGUAUCUCUAUCUCUCUAGUAGCCUUCUUGUCCUUUGCUUCAACUGUGUGUAUAUGCCUAGUAGCUAGCUAGCUUGUGUAUGCAUCAAUAUCUGGUUAAGUCAUCACUAGUUCACUAUAUUUAUCUACAUGGAGCAUAUGGAAGGAAAGAGAGAAACAUGUGCAAGAAGGAUGUGUUUCAUCUUCAUUCCUCACUGACCAAGUUUGAUUAUUUUGGAAUACUUGUGAGCGAGGUUAUAUAUAAUAUUUGAAUGUUUAUUUUUUAAGUAAUGGUUAUGCAUGUUUUUGUUCUGGGUUUUAUAUAUGGCAUGAUUACUGAUGCUAUAAUUCUGAAGAACAUUUCCUGACUUCUGUUAAUUUCAUUGAAACGGCUUAACUUAUACAUUUAUUCCGGCUAGCUAAAUAGAUGUUCCAUGUAAUAAUGAAAGUUGAAGGCAACCAUGCAUGAUGUUAUGUAGACAAGUAAUUUGUCCUGUUAAUUUUUAAUCAAUUAUUCAUUUGCUUGGAUGUAUCUGUUGAGGAAUCUUGCUAUAUAUUCCACAUAUUUGAUUUGAUCCAGCUGUGUGCUUGCUUUUUCUUAGAGAAGGGUAUUUUUUUACCCGGCCUCUACAUCCAACUGAAUAUAUGCAACAUUUUUAACUUAGCCCUUAAAUAAUAUAAUCUGAAAUUCGCUUCUAUGGAGAUUUAAACCUAGGACCUUAAAAUACUACUUAGGUCACUGUAAUCACUAAGCUAUAUGCCUUUUCACAACAGUGCAGUGUGUUUACUGAUAUAUUCCUCAUCACAAACGGCUCGCUAUAUAUUUGUUCUGCCUAAAUUAAUGCUUGAAUUAAUGCAAGUAUGCAACCAUGAUGCAUAGAGGUUUCUUCCUUUAGGCAGCUGAAACUAUAUAAUUAAGAUGUAUUAUUUUAGGUUUUAAUUUAAUUUGUGCAGUUCUGCUACAAAUUAUGAUCAAGCUAUACAGCUAGCUAGUUGCACAAGCAAGGCUCUCAUCUGGUCAAUAUUUUCUUGACAAAGAAAUUUAGGGCCUGACGUUUGUUCGUUCCGAUUAUUUUAAUUUCUUGUUUUAGAACAAUGUACUUCGUAUAUACGGGUACAUCACUUUUGGGGACAGAAUCCAUUAAUUGUGUGAUUAUCAUCAUAUGCUCAUUCUUGUCUAGUUGAGCAAUGCCUAGUAAAUUGAUCAGCUGCAUCCCAAAUUGUUGAACAGUAUCGGAUUUUGCUAAAAUAUUUCUAAGACAGACCGUAAACUUUCUACAAACUCUUUCAUUUGUGUGCUUUCUGGGUGUAAGUGUAAUGAUUUUUUUUUUGAAGAAAUGAGUGUAAUGAUGUACUACUAUACGCCUCUCUACGGUUGUGAUUAGUUAAUUUGUCAUUGUACUGAUCAAUACAAAAUUCUUAUGAUUCUCUGAUUGAAAAAAUGUUGUUUGUAGAACUAGCUAGCUAGACAAUAAUUCUUUCACUUCAGUAUGAACCAAAACUCCUGCUGCUAUUAAUUAAUUUCUGCUGAAUAAUACCGUCAUAAUUAACAUGAAUGCAGUCCUCAUGAGCUGGAUGCAUAUAAACUAGCAGCUGGCAUUCAGUUCUUCUGUAAUUAAUUUCCUUCUAAAUUGGUUGAAUUUUUUAGAUAAUAAAAAUAUGUUACAUCUCCGAUUUCUGUUCGUUAGGCACGCAACCAUUGAUUUUUGUUGGAUAUAUUACAUGCUUAUCUCGAAUUGGUCAAUUGUCAGUAUCGAUUAACAAGUUAUCCUUGUCAACGGCGAAGCUCCUUAGACUUGACUGGAUGCUAUUUUCUUUCUACCCUUUUUUUCUCAGAUGCUAGUAUUUUCUAGUCAGGUACUUGUACUGCAGUUUGCACGUGUGCUAAACAUGAAGAACGUUGUACAAGAUAUUCACAGUUUGUUUAGUAAUUCUCAUUGAAUCAGACAAAGUAAAUCAAUUUUGUAGUGCAUUUCAGGCCUCAUCGUUUGGCUUUUUUCGUAAUAAGCCAAAACGGCUUAUUAGAGAAUACAAAUGAAUUUCGUAGAUAAAACUUUUAUAUAUGUGUUUUCGGUGACUUAAAAGCCAAUGCUGAAAAAAAACUACGUUGAAAAUAUCUCAAAAUCAAUGUCAAAAUUAAGUUUGAAAAUUCAAAUUUUUGCUUUUUCUUUGGCUGAAUAGGCCAUCCGAUGGGAGCCGAAGCUUGACCCCUUUUAUUAAUCAAAGUUUCAUAUUGAUUAUUGAACCCCAUCUAGACCAUUUUGUCUGCUGAAGGGCAAUAUAUAUUUUAUUUUCUAUAUAACUCUUUUCCUGAAAAUAAUAUUGUGCUUCACAUUGAACAACCAAUCUACACUGUUGUACAAUUAGUUGGUGAUGACCUCCAGCUCACUCAUGUGUUGGUCUCUGAUGGACCAGCCAUUGUUGCAUGCUUGCAUUUGCAUGCAUUCAUGGACCACUUCACUAGCUGUAGUUAGUACAAACAUACAAGAAUGCAUUCAGGAGCUGUGUCACUGUGCCUAUGUGGCCACAAAGCAGGAAAGGUUAAGCUACAGUGAUGCUGAUGGUGAGUGCUGAGAGUAAGUAGGACACUGCCAUUAUAUGCUGAUCUGCAGCCAAAGUCAAGAAUGUCCCCAGUGAUUGGGAGAAACACCUGGGUCCCCUCUUGCACAACAGAGCUUUGCAUUAUGACUUUUUUUUUCCUGCAGACAGCAUGGCAGUGGCUGCACUUGCAUAUUGGUGAUGAACAGUAUCUGAACUAUCCAGAUCCCAGUGAAUCUGAAAUCAGUUUACAGUUUUCAGUGUGCAGGAAGCAGAGCAAGAGAUUCUUCACAACAUCACGCGUUACAGGGAUAGAUGAUCAUCAUGGAAGACAAUAAUAUGAUCUGUCAUUUUACAAGUUGAAAGUGGAAAAAACAUUGUUCGUGUAGACAGGUUUCUUUUUGGCAAUUUAUCUCAGAACACAAGCAGCAGACAAGGUGUCGUGUACAAUUAAGAACUGAAGAAGUGUCCAUUGCACAUUCAAAAACAGGAGACAUUCCAUGAACAAACAAGAUAUACUAUCAUGUACUUUCUUCACUCUAGACUGCUUUUCAGGCUAUAAAUGAAGUAAAUCUAUACAUCGAAAAAAAAAUCAAACCAGCAAAAAGAUUUCUGGAAAA